GCCCAGAUGGCGGAAUUGGUAGNNGUAUGGACGUGGAGGUUCGAGUCCUCUUCUGGGCACCA
rnacentral:tRNA from 1 species